rnacentral:rRNA from 1 species
GUGUCAGCAGCCGCGGUAACACGUAGGGGGCGAGCGUUGUCCGGAUUUAUUGGGCGUAAAGAGCUCGUAGGCGGCUCGGUAAGUCAACUGUGAAAGCUCCAGGCUCAACCUGGAGAGGCCAGUUGAUACUGCCGUGGCUAGAGUCCGGUAGGGGAGCGUGGAAUUCCCGGUGUAGCGGUGGAAUGCGCAGAUAUCGGGAGGAACACCAGUGGCGAAGGCGGCGCUCUGGGCCGGAACUGACGCUGAGGAGCGAAAGCAUGGGUAGCAAACAGGAUUAGAUACCCUGGUAGUCCAUGCCGUAAACGUUGGGCACUAGGUGUGGGGUUCUAUCAACGGAUUCCGCGCCGUAGCUAACGCAUUAAGUGCCCCGCCUGGGGAGUACGGCCGCAAGGCUAAA